AUGGGGAAGAUGGCGAGGUGCGUGUGGAUAUCGGCGCUCGCGGCAUUGGCCGUCGCCCUUGUUCUUGGAGUGGCUGCCGAAGCGCGUCUCCUGGAGAAGCAGAACUUGGGCGGUGGAGGAGGCUUCGGUGGCGGCGGCGGCGGCGGCGGCGGCGGCGGCUUUGGUGGUGGCGGUGGCCUCGGCGGAGGCGGAGGCGGUGGUGCCGGUGGUGGGCUUGGUGGAGGGCUUGGCCAUGGUGGAGGCCUUGGUGGUGGGUUUGGAGGUGGUAAAGGAGGUGGUCUAGGCGGUGGUCUCGGGGGAGGAGGUGGUUUUGGUGGUGGUGCCGGCGGUGGUCUUGGUGAAGGUCUUGGGCAUGGUGGUGGUGGAGGAGGCGGACUGGGUGGCGGGGCUGGAGGUGGUGGUGGAUUGGGAGGUGGCGCGGGAGGCAGUCUUGGUGGUGGGGCAGGAGUUGGCUCUGGUGGCGGGUUUGGUGCUGGCGCUGGAGGAGGGGGUGGGCUUGGUGGUGGUGCCGGCGGCGGCCUAGGGGGUGGCGGUGGCUUCGGAGGCGGCAAAGGUGGUGGUUUUGGCGGAGGAUUUGGUGCCAGAGGUGGUGGCGGCUUAGGUGGUGGAGGUGGUGGAGGUUUUGGAGGCGGCGGCGGCAUCGGCGGACGAGUGUGA
rnacentral:rRNA from 1 species